CGGUAAGAGGAAGUUUCGGAUGGAAUCUUAUUGAUUUAGCGGCGGACGGGUGAGUAACGCGUGAGCGACCAACCUUGCACAGGGGGAUAACGGACCGAAAGGUUCACUAAUACCGCAUGAGACCACGGUGUUGCAUGACACAGAGGUCAAAGGAGCAAUCCGGUGCAAGACGGGCUCGCGUCCGAUUAGGUAGUUGGAGGGGUAACGGCCCACCAAGCCUAUGAUCGGUAGCCGACCUGAGAGGGUGAUCGGCCACAUUGGAACUGAGAUACGGUCCAAACUCCUACGGGAGGCAGCAGUGGGGAAUAUUGGGCAAUGGGGGGAAACCCUGACCCAGCAACGCCGCGUGAAGGAAGAAGGUUUUCGGAUUGUAAACUUCUGUCCUUGGUGAAGAGAAGAAGACGGUAGCCAAGGAGGAAGCCCCGGCUAACUACGUGCCAGCCGCCGC
rnacentral:rRNA from 1 species